AGGUCGGCACCCGUUUCGCGUGGCCGCCUUGGGGGCUGUCCUGUUGGACGUCUGACUGUGGCUCAAAGGACAGGCUCGACUCUGGCACCGGCAGCCAGGAUUAGCUGGAAGAGAGACCUAGAAAGUGGGGUUUCACAGCAAGGGAAGUGGUAACACAGGCAGAGAUGCUGUGACUGUGAACAAAGAAGAAGAAGAUCUGAGAAUCCUAGGAUGAAAAAAACUAUGCAAACA